AGUGAUGCGGGCACUCGCUGAGGUCACAAUCACUGCUGGGGUGGCAGCGUUUCCGCCACAGCUGGUGAGCAGAGCUGGUGCUCUGGUGAGCGUGCUGCACACCGAGGCUGAGCUCUGGGCCUUCCGUGGAACAGAUCACCCUGUGAGAGCCCGUCAGAAGCACCGCGUGUGCACUCGUUGGUACUCUCUGCAGGGUUCCUGUCCCAAGGGAGAUUUUGGGAUCGAGGCAGUGGGAGGAAGAGGGAAGCCAGCUCUUUGCAAGGGCCGGGGAAUUCCUGUGCACAGAGGCCUGGGAACUUCAUCAUCCUCUGAGCCUUCAGCGGCCAUGUCUCAGCACGGAGACGACCGCGGUUCCAAUUGCUGCUGUCUGAGUGGCAAGGUAUGGCUGGGCUUCUUCUGCUUGGUUCUUCCUUUCUCUUGCUCUCAAGGGGAAGGGACGGAGCAGGGGGAGCCCUGCUGGUCCUUGGUGACCUCAGUGACCGGUUGCAUUCAGCGCUCACUGCUGACAGCCUGGGCUAACAUCGCGGACGUGGCUCAGGCCGUCUUUUCCCUUAGUCAUAGUUAGUGUCUCAGCACUCUGAUAUCCCCUUUCUGGCACGAUCUGGAACCUCUCUGCAAGCCUUGGCUGCCCGUUCCCACCACCGUUUCUUCCUUUCUCUCUUCAGAAGCGGCGCGGCGCGGUUCCCCGCGGUUGGGAGCAGCAGCCAGCAGGCUGCCAGAGAUCCGACCGCGCCUUCCAGCGCACAGAGGGACGCAACAGGGACGGACGGUCCUUCCUGCCAUACAGAAGUGAGUUUCUUCAGCCCUCUGUCGUGAAGUGUGGAGGAAUGAUUUUUGAGUAUUCCUUCUGGGCGGGUGCAGCGCUGCAGAGGAUGGCAAGUGAGCAUCCAUUUGGAGUGCAGGAAGGAGCAGUGAGAAGUGAACUCUCA
rnacentral:lncRNA from 7 species